UAGGAAAACAAGAGGCCUGGCGCCACAUACUCCUCCUCCAUGGGGAGAUGAUGAGAGAACAAAGAACAUGUGAUGGAUGUGAGACACAUCACAUAAUGUGAUGGCCUCAGAUAGUCAGAUGAGCAAGGAUCCAAGCUUCCACAGGACAGAAUGACACCUGAAUUUCUACAAGAGAUUUCAAUCGAAAGUGAAGAUGCUGGGAAAAGGCCUACCUGCAGCUUCAGCAGUAGAUCACCAAGAGAGUGUAUCUUCUGUACCAGGUCAUGGGAGUUCAGCUCAGAGUUGUACAGUAGAAAGAGCAUGCCUGCAGUCUCUUCAAGACAUCAGACUGCUGUAAGUCAGCCAUGCACAUGGCCCUGAAGGGAUAUCUACAAGGUACUUAAAGCUAUAACAUCACUCACAAAGGUCUGAGACAGGAAUAGAGUUUAAAAUAUACAAUCACAUUUGAAAUAUGAUUUAAAGGAGGCCAUAAAUAUCUAUUUUUGAAAACCCGCUGUGGCUGAAUUUUACUUUUGUUUUGUAUUUGACCAUUAAAUAUAUAUAUAUAUAUAUAUAUAUAUUUAAAGAAGGAAAACAGAAACUGUUGAUACUGUGAUAUUUUUUACUGAUGACUCGCAUUACCACUGAGUGACACCUCCUUAAUUCAAUUGCAGGAAUAUACGGACAUUGUGCCCAGGUAAACACUCAUUAACUUUUCUUGACAGCCCUUUUUAAAUUAAAGAAAAAAAAAAAAGACACGCCAAGUUGCUGCCAGUUUUGGCAGCUCUGAUCUUGCCCUGACUCUAAGCCCAAGGAGCCUUUAUCAGGUUUCAUUUCCAAGGACACUGGUCCGCUUCCAGCAAGGCGCGUGUCCCUGGCUGCCGCCACGGCGUUCCCAGCUGCAGAACAAGGGCUGCAAAACCCCUGGUGGGUGCAGAGUGGUGCUCUCCGGUUUUUGUUUUGUGGAAAGAGUUAAAUAAAGACGAGGGUUCAGGGAAGGAGAGUCUGAGC
rnacentral:lncRNA from 1 species